CGGUAAUACGGAGGAUCCAAGCGUUAUCCGGAAUCAUUGGGUUUAAAGGGUCCGUAGGCGGUCAGAUAAGUCAGUGGUGAAAGCCCAUCGCUCAACGGUGGAACGGCCAUUGGUACUGUCUGACUUGAAUUAUUAGGAAGUAACUAGAAUAUGUAGUGUAGCGGUGAAAUGCUUAGAGAUUACAUGGAAUACCAAUUGCGAAGGCAGGUUACUACUAAUAUAUUGACGCUGAUGGACGAAAGCGUGGGUAGCGAACAGGAUUAGAUACCCUGGUAGUCCACGCCGUAAACGAUGGAUACUAGCUGUUGGGAGCAAUCUCAGUGGCUAAGCGAAAGUGAUAAGUAUCCCACCUGGGGAGUACGAACGCAAGUUUGAA
rnacentral:rRNA from 1 species